rnacentral:lncRNA from 1 species
GUUUCCUGUGUCACAUAAAACUUAUAUUAAAUCAUUUGUGUGUUUUUCUCUUGGUAAUGUGUCUUAUGUUAUAGGACCCUCAGCCAUGAACCUAGCAAUGGAUGAGGAAAGGAAAUCUUUUCUCCCCCUAAACAUUUAUCAUGUAAAAUAAAAACAAGAGGUAACACUCAUAUGCAGAGCACAAGCUCUUUUCCAAGUACCAUCCUAAAUGAUUUAGCUAGAUUAAGUUCCAUGAUCUUUUUAACAACCCUAUAGGUAGAUACUAUUUUUAUAACAAGUAUGACUGUUGGCCAGAGGAUGGUGGAUGAAGAAAUGCAAACCCUGAUAAGGCAACAUUUUGCAUCAGGAGAGAAAAUGACACUGAGCACUGAUGAAGUAAGCUAAAGGUAAUUCCUAGACCAAAAUCAAAUGCUGUCAUAAGAGAAGAAAAAAAGAUAUUAUUUGUACCAGAGUUAAAACUAGCCACAGAACAACUUUUUGCCAGAUAGAGAACAGAUGAAAUGGACUUAUUUUUGCCUCCUACCUUUCUGGAAGUUGCUUUUGGUGUAUAAGGCUUUUUUGGCAUUAUCUCUCUUGGGCUGUCAUUGAAUACUUAGGGCUUACUGACAGAUGACUUUCAGCAUUACUGUCAGGUGGCUGAUUCAGCCAUCACUUGGGCCUCCCGUUGAUUAUAACAAGCCAAAACACUGUGCAGUUGGAAAUUUUAGGUACCAUUGUUCAAUAUAAUCUAUCUAUUUUACAGCAAAAUUAUCACAAAAAGCAUCCAGUAAAGUAACUGGUUUGACUGACAGGAGAUUCUAGUGUUAUUGUAUUUUUCCCACCAGGGCACCCAGGGGAGUUUGCUCAUCUGUAAUAUUAUUAUUAUAAUCAUAUUAUUUCUGAUGUUUUAUUGCCAGUGUCAUGGCUGACCUUUGGCAAAAUUGCAAAGUAUCCAAAGUUCAUUGGAAGAGUUCUUUUCAUGCAUACCUUCCCCCAUCUGUUUAAGAAAGGCUGCAUUGUAUUCAGCCUCAGGAAUGCUCAGAUAUUCAUUGAACCUCAUUGGAAUUAAUGAAGUGUACUUCAUAAUAUCCUUGAACACCAAAAAAUGUGUCCUCAGGCUUCAGCUGAUCUUCCCAUCGCUAAAUCCACUCAUAAAUUCCCAGUCCUUAUUUGAUCUGACAUAUAUCAGCAAACAUUUGAUACGUGUGAUCACAUCCUUUUUUAUAUAAUGUAUUUUUUGGUCCCAUUAACCUCCUGGAUAUCCCAUUUCCUGGGAUUCACUGAUAGAAUUUUUAAAAUCUCCUUUGUCUGUUCCUCCCCUUCUUUCCAGCUUUUAACAUUAGAGGGGUCCAGUGCUCAGGCACUGGUCCUCUUCUCUUUCUCUCUACGUUUACUUUUUGGAUGAUCUCAUUUGGUCUCAUUGCUUGAAAUAUCAUCAUAUGCCAAUGAGUCCCAAAUUUAUAUCUCCUGUGUGGGCCUUCCUCCUGAGCACUAGACUCAUGCACCCAGAUUGCCUACUUGAAAGCUUGUCUUGAAUAUUUACUAGGUACCUCAAACUUAAGCUGACCAAAAUUGAACUCCAUAUCUUCCCCAGAAAAUCUAUUCUUCCUGAAGUCUUUUUCCAUCUCACUUGAAAGAAAUUUGAUCAUUCCAGUUAAUUCAGGCAAAAGCCUUGGAGACAUCCUGGACUCCAUCUUUCUCUCACACAUCGAACUUCACACCUCUAACUUCAAAAUACAUCCAAAAUUCAAUCACACUUGACCACAUCCAAUUACCUCCAGUGUGUUAAAAGACAAAUCUUGGCACGUGAAAAUUUUUAAGAGUUUAUUUGAACAGACGGCAGUUCAUGAAUGGGGCCACUCAAGACUGCAAGCAAUUCGGGGCUCCAACAAAUGGGCAUAAGGGAAAAGCUUUUAAAGGGUAAAUGAGGCUGGGUGCGGUGGCUCACACCUGUAAUCCCAGCACUUUGAGAGGCCGAGGUGGGUGGAUCACGAGGUCAAGAGAUCGAGACCAUCUUGGCCAACAUGGUGAAACCCUGUCUCUACUAAAAAUACAAAAUUUAGGUGGGUGUGGUGGAACAUGCCAGUAGUCCCAGCUACUCUGGAGGCUCAGGUAGGACAGUCACUUGAACCUGGGAGGUGGAGGUUGCAGUGAGCCCAGAUAGCACCACUACACUCCAAUCUGGUGACAGAGCGAGACUCCCUCUCAAAAAAAAAAAAAAAAAAA